rnacentral:tRNA from 1 species
GCAUCGGUGGUUCAGUGGUAGAAUGCUCGCCUGCCACGCGAGCGGCCCGCGUUCGAUUCCCGGCCGAUGCC